rnacentral:rRNA from 1 species
CAUGCCUUACACAUGCAAGUCGAACGAUGAACCCGGAGCUUGCUCCGGUGGAUAAGUGGCGAACGGGUGAGUAACACGUGAGUAACCUGCCCUUGACCCUGGGAUAACCCAGGGAAACUUGGGCUAAUACCGGAUACGUGAGAGAGCAGAAAGAUUCAUCGCUGAAGGAACGGCCCGCGUCUGAUUAGCUAGUUGGUGGGGUAAUGGCCCAACAAGGCGACGAUCAGUAGCUGGGCUGAGAGGAUAAUCGGCCACAUUGUGAUUGAGACAGUGCCCAAAGUCCUACUGAAGGCGGCUGUGGGGAGGAUUGGACAAUGGACGCAAACCUGAUCCCGCCUUGCCGCAUGGGUGAUGAAGGCAUUAGGGUUGUAAAGCUCUUUCGCCCGGGACUAUAAUGACGGUACCGGAAGAAGAAGCCCCGGCUAACGUCAUGCAGCAGCCGCAGUAA